UAAUACGUAGGGGGCUAGCGUUGUCCGGAUUUAUUGGGCGUAAAGAGCGUGUAGGCGGCCGAGUAAGUCCGGUGUGAAAACUCGAGGCUUAACCUCGAGAUGUCAUCGGAAACUAUUCGGCUAGAGUCCGGAAGAGGAGAGUGGAAUUCCUGGUGUAGCGGUGAAAUGCGCAGAUAUCAGGAAGAACACCUAUGGCGAAAGCAGCUCUCUGGGACGGUACUGACGCUGAGACGCGAAAGCGUGGGGAGCGAACAGGAUUAGAUACCCUGGUAGUCCACGCCGUAAACGAUGGAUGCUAGCCGUUGGCAGGCUUGCCUGUCAGUGGCGCAGCUAACGCAUUAAGCAUCCCGCCUGGGGAGUACGGUCGCAAGAUUA
rnacentral:rRNA from 1 species